rnacentral:ncRNA from 1 species
CUUCGCUUCUUUUGAAGCAACUGCUGCACUUAAUACAACCGUAUCACCAUAACGAACCAAGACUGCACCAUUGGCUUGCUUCGCUAAUUGACCAACUUCGACUUGCAAGGGACGUCCGCCCCAAGUGGUUUUGAAUACUUGUUUUUCUGACAUAAUUUCUCCUUUUUCCCUCUGACAGGUGCGA